CGACAGAGGGAGGCACACUAUUGGAGACGGUGGGCCUGGAUCCCCCGAUACCACCGCCCAUCAGUAGCGGGCCUCUCCCAGCCCUCUUCCACCCCAAUCCAUCCAUCUGUUGAGCUGCUCAACCAGCACACUAUUACCAACUAUGGCUUUUGCUGCAACGAGGAGGCUCUUGGUGUUAUUUGUGUUUUUUUGCGCCAUUGGACCAGGGUUAGCAGCGGAGCGACCGGCGGCGCGGACGCAGAGUAGCAGGGCGGAGCCGGCGGAGCAUUCCGCCCCCAGGCGGAGCUGGGAGCCCACCGCCCAGCUGGACGGGAGCCCUGUGGACCGCUACAGCGUCAGCGCCACCAAGCCAAUCAGAGCGCAGCACCGCCUGGCCAAAGCGGGCAGGGACAAGGAUGCCCGCGUUCCGCUACCGGAGGAUGUAGGCCGUGCCGCCGGGCCCCUGCACCCCGCGGCUCCAGCCCGGGUGGAGGCCCCUGUGGAGGCGCCCGUCCCAGUGGAGCCGGCCUCACCUGUCUCCAGGGCGCACAGGAGGCCCCCCCAGUCGUCCUCGGGCCCCCGUCAACCCUACAGCAGGGCCCUGGGACGGCUCCCCCUGGUGGACAGGAGACAACAACACAGCACUAAGCCUCAGUCGGACCAACGGAACCGCAACGGCCACAAGCUAGCCUCUGAGUCCGUUCAUGUGGUGUCACUGCAGGCCCAGAGGACACCGGGUCGCCGGAGCAACCCCGUCAGCCGGCCCGUGCCGGCC
ensembl:lncRNA